UUCUUGGGUUGGGUUGAAAGUUGGUGUGCGGUCUUUUUAUAGUAUAGGUAAACCGCGUGCCAAAUAUCAUCGCAAUCGGAGUUCGUUUGAUACCCCAACAGUUAAGUCUAGCAGCACCGUCAUCGGUUUAAAUAUUGGACGAUUUUCAGUUUUAUAAACUUGUGUCACGGGCCGCAUUCUUCCUCUCUUCUUCUCUCAGUACAAACACCCCUACACAACCCACCUAGCCCAACCUACCCUAUCCUGCCAUCGAAGUCGUCUGAUUGUGAUCGAAUGGUCCGAAUCAGGCAAAAUCAGCUAAACCUAGCCCCCCUUGCUUUAUAUGGACAUCUAGCCCUGCCCAACAUGGAAACCCUAGUCUCCUCAUUGAAUUCCCCAUGCAACUACUGCUUGGCGCCACAGCCUCCCACUUUCCUCUCCUCCCUCGUCCCAUCCAUCAGGGCCCGCCAAAGCCCAUCGCG
rnacentral:lncRNA from 1 species